AUUGAACGCUGGCGGCAGGCCUAACACAUGCAAGUCGAGCGGAUGAAGGGAGCUUGCUCCUGGAUUCAGCGGCGGACGGGUGAGUAAUGCCUAGGAAUCUGCCUGGUAGUGGGGGAUAACGUCCGGAAACGGGCGCUAAUACCGCAUACGUCCUGCGGGAGAAAGUGGGGGAUCUUCGGACCUCACGCUAUCAGAUGAGCCUAGGUCGGAUUAGCUAGUUGGUGGGGUAAAGGCCUACCAAGGCGACGAUCCGUAACUGAUCUGAGAGGAUGAUCAGUCACACUGGAACUGAGACACGGUCCAGACUCCUACGGGAGGCAGCAGUGGGGAAUAUUGGACAAUGGGCGAAAGCCUGAUCCAGCCAUGCCGCGUGUGUGAAGAAGGUCUUCGGAUUGUAAAGCACGUUAAGUUGGGAGGAAGGGCAGUAAGUUAAUACCUUGCUGUUUUGACGUUACCAACAGAAUAAGCACCGGCUAACUUCGUG
rnacentral:rRNA from 1 species